CAUGAAGCUUUUCUUUAUUCUUUCAGUUAUAAUUAAUUGUUCUUUCUUUUGUUAUAGUUUUAGCAAUAACUACUGUGAAUUUGCAUGUGUCCAGUUCAUUGUAUUGGGAAUCUCUUGAGGCCAACUCCAACCCGGAACCAUGCAGAGAAGAGAGAUCUGGGACCACAGCUACAGCUUAGUCAUGCCGACACUGUGCACAGUCACCCCAACAAGUGCUGUCCCUGGCCCUCCACAUCAUGUUUCACCUUUGUACUAAGCUAAUUAUUUAAUCACCAUGUUAUUUAAAAAAAAAAAAAAAAAGCAAGAAUUUGGCGCUGGCUGCUGUGGUGCUUUUUUGUUGCAAGUGUGUUUUCUCUAGACCGAUUUUCGGUGUUC
rnacentral:lncRNA from 1 species